ensembl:lncRNA
CGUAGGAAAGGUUUUCAUCUUUAGCUCACAAUCUGUGAAUAAUAUACGAUUAGAAAGGUUAAAAAAUGAUUUUAAACAUCACAGCACAAUUGAAAAAUAUAUGGGACAUGGAAACCAAACGAGGGUGGUCUAUCGUGAUAGAUGGGAUGGGCUGAGGGGCGGGAAUAAAGAGCUGAGGUCUAUGGUGAUAGGUGGGAUGGGCUGAGAGUGGCUGAGGGGGUGGGAUUAAAGAGCUGAGGUCUAUGGUGAUAGAUGGAAUGGGCUGAGAGUGGCUGACGGGCGGGAUUAAAGAGCUGAGGUCUAUGGUGAUAGGUGGGAUGGGCUGAGAGUGGCUGAGGGGGUGGGAUUAAAGAGCUGAGGUCUAUGGUGAUAGGUGGGAUGGGCUGAGAGUGGCUGAGGGGUGGGAUUAAAGAGCUGACGUCUAUGGUGAUAGGUGGGAUGGGCUGAGAGUGGCUGAGGGGCGGGAUUAAAGAGCUGACGUCUAUGGUGAUAGGUGGGAUGGAAUGAGAGUGGCUGAGGGGCGGGAUUAAAGAGCUGAGGUCUAUGGUGAUAGGUGGGAUGGGCUGAGAGUGGCUGAGGGGGUGGGAUUAAAGAGCUGAGGUCUAUGGUGAUAGGUGGGAUGGGCUGAGAGUGGCUGAGGGGGUGGGAUUAAAGAUCUGAGGUCUAUGGUGCUAGGUGGGAUGGGCUGAGAGUGGCUGAGGGGCGGGAUUAAAGAGCUGAGGUCUAUGGUGAUAGGUG